rnacentral:hammerhead_ribozyme from 1 species
AUCCAGCUGACGAGUCCCAAAUAGGACGAGACGACCAUCCUGGAU